UGCAGCAACGCCGCGUGAGGGAUGACGGCCUAUCGGGUUGUAAACCUCUUUUAGUAGGGAAGAAGCGAAAGUGACGGUACCUGCAGAAAAAGCACCGGCUAACUACGUGCCAGCAGCCGCGGUAAUACGUAGGGUGCAAGCGUUGUCCGGAAUUAUUGGGCGUAAAGAGCUCGUAGGCGGUUUGUCGCGUCUGCUGUGAAAACUGGAGGCUCAACCUCCAGCCUGCAGUGGGUACGGGCAGACUAGAGUGCGGUAGGGGAGAUUGGAAAUCCUGGUGUAGCGGUGGAAUGCGCAGAUAUCAGGAGGAACACCGAUGGCGAAGGCAGAUCUCUGGGCCGUAACUGACGCUGAGGAGCGAAAGCAUGGGGAGCGAACAGGAUUAGAUACCCUGGUAGUCCAUGCCGUAAACGUUGGGAACUAGAUGUGGGGGCCAUUCCACGGUCUCCGUGUCGCAGCUAACGCAUUAAGUUCCCCGCCUGGGGAGUACGGCCGCAAGGCUAAAACUCAAAGGAAUUGACGGGGGCCCGCACAAGCGGCGGAGCAUGCGGAUUAAUUCGAUGCAACGCGAAGAACCUUACCAAGGCUUGACAUAUACGAGAACGGGCCAGAAAUGGUCAACUC
rnacentral:rRNA from 1 species